CACUGCCCCUUGCUCCUUUGUGCUUGCUGAGACAAUUGAGAUAUUGUUAUUGGAUGUAGUUGCACGCUCCAAACCCUGGCACUUCUCUCUUCUCCGGCAUCUCUGAAGAAAUUUUAACAGAGCUUUAAACCUUGAUCUCACUUCCUAAACCUAUUUGUAUUUCCCAGUGAUGGAAAAUAGUCAAAACAAACAACUAUCCAAGCACCGCCUCCAAAAACCAUGAUAACAAAAAACGAAAACAAACUGAAACCCUUUGACCGAAAAGGCAAAAGGCAAAGCAGAACAAAACAAAACCGAGAUGCUUAUCUACAUGGUGCAGUCUACCUAAAUUCAAAAUCUGUUCCUUUUGUGGCUCAUACGGAUUCUUUGUUGAAGUACUUUCAGUGCAAAGCUGAACCAAACGAAAGUGGAGUAAAUGUUCACGACCAUUAUUUCCCAUGAAAUUAAUGCUGGCUUCAAAGUUUUUACCACCUCACCUUUCUGGAGAACUUGAGUUCUAAUAGUGUCACAUCGCAGGACCUCUCGUGCCGUUUCUGGAAUCUGAAAUUGACCUGGACAUCUGGAUUAGUGGCCUGCUGGGGACCACCUGUACCAGUACUGAUAACAGAAUGAUCCUAUCAGAGUGAGCUUUCCAGACAAAUGCUUCACAGGAGACCUUAAUAGUUCAUGAAAACAAAAGGAAGGCAAAUCUCCUUAUUGACCAAAAAUUACACUAACAAUUCAACAGACGAACUUCAACAGAUGAUGAGCAAAGUUGCUAAUUAAUAAACUGUGGAGUUUAAAAAAGAGAGGGGACUAUAAAUUAAACAUUGAGCUACAUUCCUGACUUUGUACAUGACCAUGAGAAUGUCAACUCUCAACUAUCCUCAGACUUUCAUCUAAACAAGAAGAAACACGUGAACUACAACGGUAAAUAUGAGGAACAAAGACUGGUGGAAGAGGAAGCAAAAAGACAAUGGAGGAAAUAUUUUAGGAAAUUAUGGUAUAAAAAGUAGAAAAGAGGAGAGGUAGAAAGGAAUUAUUCAAGAAAAUAUAAAAGGGAAAGAGUCAGUAUUAGACAUUCAGAUUCAACAGAUAUUUUUGAACCUCUGUGGGCUUGCCUGUGUGCUGGGCUCUGAACAAAAUGAAAAAGGCCUCUGCUUCCAAGGAACUUAUAUUGUAGUUGUUGUGUAUCAGUUAAGAUUAGGUGGUCUGUAUGAAAAAAAUGUGUGAAAAGAUUUUAAAAGUCAUAUUGUUUUUCUUUAACCCAAAAUAAAACUGAACUUAACCCAG